GAUGAACGCUGGCGGCGUGCCUAAUACAUGCAAGUCGAGCGAACAGACGAGGAGUUUGCUCCUCUGACGUUAGCGGCGGACGGGAGAGUAACACGUGGAUAAUCUACCUAUAAGACGGAGAUAAGCUCGGGAAACCGGAGCUAAUACCGGAUAAUAUAUUGAUCCGUGUGGAUCAUUAGUGAAAGACGGUUUUGCUGUAACUAAUAGAUGGCUACGCGCCGGAUUAGCUAGUUUGUAAGGUAACGGCUUACCAAGGCAACGAUGCGUAGGCGACCUGAGAGACUGAUCGCCCACCCUGGAACUGAGACACGGUCCAGACUCCUACGGGAGGCAGCAGUCGGCUACCUGCCGCAAUGGGCGAAAGCCUUACGGAGCAGCGCCGCGUGAGUUACAAAGGUCCUCGGAUCGUAAAACUCGCUUAUGAGGUAAGAACAACUUUCUGAGUAACUAUGCACAUCGUGACGGUACCUACACAGAAAGCCACGGCUAACUACGUG
rnacentral:rRNA from 1 species